CAUGGUAAAUAAGACUAAUCUUUGUUUCAUAUGCUUGCAUAUACACUUUUAGAAUCUAGGCCUUGUUUAGUUUCCAAAAAAUUUUGCAAAAUUUUUCAGAUUCUCCGUCACAUCAAAUCUUUAGACGUAUGCAUGAAGUAUUAAAUAUAGACAAAAAUAAAAACUAAUUGCACAGUUUGGUCGGAAUUGACGAGACAAAUCAUGAUUGGACAAUAUUUAUCAAAUACAAACGAAAGUGUCGAUUUCCCAAAAAAAAAAUUUGAACUAAACAAGGCCCU
rnacentral:lncRNA from 1 species